rnacentral:tRNA from 1 species
GGGGCUGUAGCUCAGUUGGGAGAGCGCUACGUUCGCAAUGUAGAGGUCAGGGGUUCGAUUCCCCUCAGCUCCACCA